rnacentral:rRNA from 1 species
GAUGAACGCUGGCGGCGUGCCUAAUACAUGCAAGUCGAGCGAACAGACGAGGAGCUUGCUCCUCUGACGUUAGCGGCGGACGGGUGAGUAACACGUGGAUAACCUACCUAUAAGACUGGGAUAACUUCGGGAAACCGGAGCUAAUACCGGAUAAUAUAUUGAACCGCAUGGUUCAAUAGUGAAAGACGGUUUUGCUGUCACUUAUGGAUGGAUCCGCGCCGCAUUAGCUAGUUGGUAAGGUAACGGCUUACCAAGGCAACGAUGCGUAGCCGACCUGAGAGGGUGAUCGGCCACACUGGAACUGAGACACGGUCCAGACUCCUACGGGAGGCAGCAGUAGGGAAACUUCCGCAAUGGGCGAAAGCCUGACGGAGCAACGCCGCGUGAGUGAUGAAGGUCUUCGGAUCGUAAAACUCUGUUAUUAGGGAAGAACAAAUGUGUAAGUAACUAUGCACGUCUUGACGGUACCUAAUCAGAAAGCCACGGCUAACUACGUG